rnacentral:rRNA from 1 species
AGCCAUAGCCAUACCACCGUGAACGCGCUGGAUCUCAUCUGAUCUCAGAAGCUAAGCAGGUUGGGCCUGUUUAGUACUUGGAUGGGAGAAAAAUUAGCCAGGCAUGGUGGUAC